rnacentral:rRNA from 1 species
GACGAACGCUGGCGGCGUGCUUAACACAUGCAAGUCGAACGGAAAGGCUCCAGCUUGCUGGAGUACUCGAGUGGCGAACGGGUGAGUAACACGUGGGUAAUCUGCCCUGCACUCUGGGAUAAGCCUGGGAAACUGGGUCUAAUACUGGAUAUGACCUUUCUCCUUAUGGGGUUUGGUGGAAAGUUUUUCGGUGUAGGAUGAGCGCGCGGCCUAUCAGCUUGUUGGUGGGGUGAUGGCCUACCAAGGCGACGACGGGUAGCCGGCCUUAGAGGGUGAUCGGCCACAUUGGGACUGAGAUACGGCCCAGACUCCUACGGGAGGCAGCAGUCGGGAAUAUUGCACAAUGGGCGGAAGCCUGAUGCAGCGACGCCGCGUGAGGGAUGACGGCCUUCGGGUUGUAAACCUCUUUCAGCAGGGACGAAGCGUAAGUGACGGUACCUGCAGAAGAAGCACCGGCUAACUAUGUG